UCUGAAUCUGCGAACGGCUCCGCAAACCAGUUGUAAACUAUAGCAAACAAGCUCAGGGUGAGGCUAGAAAUGGCUCUGCCCUGGGUGAUAUGGAUAACCCUGGUAAUUCUGAGGCUAAUACAAGAAAUUAAAGCACCCUGGCUGACUGGGCUUAGGCUUGGAAAGCUGGGUGGGAUGUGUGAUUGCAAGCUUGGAUGAGCUGGGAAAGGGCACACAUCUAGACCACUGUACAAAAGGACCAGCCUUUUUCCCCCUGCUCCCCUCUGGGGGGGUGGGUGGUUGGGUUGGCCCUAGUGGCUCUUGCUGUGUGCUUCUGACCUAUCAACUAGAUGGCAGCCUAUAGGACAUGCCAUGGU
rnacentral:rRNA from 1 species